CUUUACUGUAACCUGGAAUUGGGUUCGGGCUUUGCUUGCGCAGCCUAGGUGGGAGGCGUUGAAGGUUUUCUUUCGGGGAAACUGGAGCCAACAGUGAGAGACCACUCUGGAGGAGCUAGAAUUCUAAUGGCGUUCCUUGAAGCAGGACGCUUGACAGUUUCAGGUGGGCAGUUUGACUGGGGCGGUCACCUCCUAAAAGGUAACGGAGGUGUGCAAAGGUUCCCUCAGGCUGGACGGAAAUCAGCCGGAGAGUGUAAAGGCAGAAGGGAGCUUGACUGCAAGACCUACAAGUCGAGCAGGGGCGAAAGCCGGCCUUAGUGAUCCGACGGUUCCAUGUGGAAGGGCCGUCGCUCAACGGAUAAAAGUUA
rnacentral:rRNA from 1 species